GAUGAACGCUGGCGGCGUGCUUAACACAUGCAAGUCGAACGGAAAGGCCCAAGCUUGCUUGGGUACUCUAGUGGCGAACGGGUGAGUAACACGUGGGUGAUCUGCCCUGCACUUCGGUAUAAGCCUGUGAAACUGGGUCUAAUACCGGAUAGGACGAUGGUUUGGAUGUCAUUGUGGAGAGUUUUUGCGGUGUGGUAUGAGAUCGCGACCUAUCAGCUUGUUGGUGGGGUAUUGGCCUACCAAGGCGUCGACGGGUAGCCGGCCUGAGAGGGUGUACGGCCACAUUGGGACUGAGAUACGGCCCAGACACCUACGGGGGGCAGCAGUGGGGAAUAUUGCACCAUGGGCGGAAGCCUGAUGCAGCGAAGCCGCGUGGGGGGUGACGGCCUUCGGGUUGUAAACUCCUUUCGCUAGGGACGAAGCGUUUUUGUGACGGUACCUGGAGAAGAAGCACCGGCUAACUACGUG
rnacentral:rRNA from 1 species